rnacentral:rRNA from 1 species
GACGAACGCUGGCGGCGUGCCUAACACAUGCAAGUCGAACGAGAAUCUUUGAACAGAUCUUUUCGGAGUGACGUUCAAAGAGGAAAGUGGCGGACGGGCGAGUAACGCGUGAGUAACCUGCCCAUAAGAGGGGGAUAAUCCAUGGAAACGUGGACUAAUACCGCAUAUUGUAGUUAAGUUGCAUGACUUGAUUAUGAAAGAUUUAUCGCUUAUGGAUGGACUCGCGUCAGAUUAGAUAGUUGGUGAGGUAACGGCUCACCAAGUCAACGAUCUGUAGCCGAACUGAGAGGUUGAUCGGCCGCAUUGGGACUGAGACACGGCCCAGACUCCUACGGGAGGCAGCAGUGGGGAAUAUUGCGCAAUGGGGGAAACCCUGAUGCAGCGACGCCGCGUGGAGGAAGAAGGUCUUCGGAUUGUAAACUCCUGUUGUUGAGGAAGAUAAUGAC